rnacentral:rRNA from 1 species
AGAGUUUGAUCCUGGCUCAGGACGAACGCUGGCGGCGUGCCUAAUACAUGCAAGUCGAACGCUCCUAGAGGUUGGAGAUUAGAGGUUAGAAGCUGGAUUUAAAGCCCGUGUUUCGGGCGGGGGGCUAAAAGGAAAGCCCGAGGUCUAAUUUCCGACUUCCAAUCUCCAACCUCCAGAAGAGAGUGGCGCACGGGUGAGUAACACGUGGGCAAUCUGCCCGGAAGACUGGGAUAACAGCGCGAAAGUGCUGCUAAUACCGGAUACCUUCACGAAGUCGCAUGACUUUGUGCAGAAAGUUUUUCGCUUCCGGAUGAGCCCGCGUCCCAUUAGCUAGUUGGUGAGGUAACGGCCCACCAAGGCGACGAUGGGUAGCUGGUCUGAGAGGACGAUCAGCCACACUGGAACUGAGACACGGUCCAGACUCCUACGGGAGGCAGCAGUGGGGAAUCUUGCGCAAUGGGCGAAAGCCUGACGCAGCAACGCCGCGUGAACGAUGAAGGCCUUCGGGUCGUAAAGUUCUGUCAAGGGGGACGAUAAUGACGGUACCCUUGGAGGAAGCCCCGGCUAACUACGUGCCAGCCGCCGCGGUAAUUC